AAGGAUCAUUAACGAGUUCAUGCCCUUCGGGGUAGAUCUCCCACCCUUUGUAUACUAUACCUUUGUUGCUUUGGCGGGCCGCCUAGCUACUGGCUUCGGCUGGUAAGUGCCCGCCAGAGGACCCAAAACCCUGAAUAUUAGUGUCGUCUGAGUAAAAAGUUUAAUAUUUAAAACUUUCAACAACGGAUCUCUUGGCUCUGGCAUCGAUGAAGAACGCAGCGAAAUGCGAUAAGUAAUGUGAAUUGCAGAAUUCAGUGAAUCAUCGAAUCUUUGAACGCACAUUGCGCCCCCUGGUAUUCCGGGGGGCAUGCCUAUUCGAGCGUCAUUAUCACCCCUCAAGCCUAGCUUGGUGUUGAGGCCUGCUGUCAAGGCAGCCUCUAAAAUCAGUGGCAGUGCUGUCAGGCUCUAAGCGUAGUAAAAUAAAUCGCUAUAGCGUCCUGGUGGACACUCGUCAGAACCCCCCCAUUUUUUAAUGAUUGACCUCGGAUUAGGUAGGGAUACCCGCUGAACUUAAGCAUAUCAAUAAGCGGAGGAAAAGAAACCAACAGGGAUUGCCUCAGUAACGGCGAGUGAAGCGGCAAAAGCUCAAAUUUGAAAUCUGGCUCUUUUAGGGUCCGAGUUGUAAUUUGUAGAAGAUGUUUCGGGUGUGGCUCCGGUUUAAGUUCUUUGGAAUAUUACAUCAUAGAGGGUGAGAAUCCCGUAUGUGACCGGCAGCCUCCGCCUAUGUGAAACUCUUUCGACGAGUCGAGUUGUUUGGGAAUGCAGCUCAAAAUGGGAGGUAUAUUUCUUCUAAAGCUAAAUAUUGGCCAGAGACCGAUAGCGCACAAGUAGAGUGAUCGAAAGAUGAAAAGCACUUUGGAAAGAGAGUUAAACAGUACGUGAAAUUGUUGAAAGGGAAGCGCUUGCAACCAGACUUGCACGCAGUUGAUCAUCCGGUGUUCUCACCGAGGCACUCUGCUGCGUUCAGGCCAGCAUCGGUUUUGGUGGUUGGAUAAAGGCCUUGGGAAUGUGGCUUCCUUCGGGGAGUGUUAUAGCCCUCGGUGCAAUGCAGCCUACCGGGACCGAGGACCGCGCUUCGGCUAGGAUGCUGGCGUAAUGGUUGUAAGCGACC
rnacentral:rRNA from 1 species